GGGGCGAAAGAUACCAGAGGCACAGUCAAUCAUUACUGAUGAGUCUUUGUAGACAAAACGUCUGUCUGGCGCAAAUAUAAAAUUUCAAUCCUGGUAUCCAUGAUUAGUUUAUUUAUAACCAGUGGGUCGAUGCCACUGAUGGUGGAGUUUUUAUUGCUCGAUGGAAUCACCAGCCCAGUAGUCAGCACUUCUGUGCUGACAUGAGUUGUCAUAAUUAUAAAU
rnacentral:lncRNA from 1 species